rnacentral:ncRNA from 2 species
GGUCAUGAGUGCCAGCAUCAAGCCCCGGCUCGCUGGCCGGCAACCCUCCAUCCGCGGUGGGGUGCCCCGGGUGAUGACCUGGUUCUCCGCACAGUGGAGGACAAGCGCGGGUC